AUAUUACUCCCUCCGUCCGGAAAUACUUUUCAUCAAAAUGGAUAAAAGGAGAUGUAUCUAGAUGUAUUUUAGUUCUAGAUACGUCCCUUUUUGUCUAUUUUGAUGACAAGUAUUUUUGAACGGAGGGAGUAUAAU
rnacentral:pre_miRNA from 1 species